rnacentral:rRNA from 1 species
UGGGUAAUCUGCCCUCGAUUCUGGGAUAGCCCGGGGAAACCCGGAUUAAUACCGGAUAGCCUCUCGAGCUUUCGAGCUCGUGAGAGAAGGUAGCUUCGGCCUCCGAUCGAGGAUGAGCCCGCGGCGGAUUAGCUUGUUGGUGGGGUAAUGGCCUACCAAGGCGACGAUCCGUAGCUGGUCUGAGAGGACGAUCAGCCACACUGGGACUGAGACACGGCCCAGACUCCGUAGGGAG